UACGUAGGUGGCAAGCGUUGUCCGGAAUUAUUGGGCGUAAAGAGCGCGCAGGCGGUCGUCCAAGUCGCGUGUGAAAGCCCCCGGCUCAACUGGGGAGGGUCACGCGAUACUGGUCGACUCGAAGGCAGGAGAGGGUAGUGGAAUUCCCGGUGUAGUGGUGAAAUGCGUAGAUAUCAGGAGGAACACCGAUAGCGAAGGCAGCUCGCUGGGACGGUACUGACGCUGAGGCGCGAAAGCGUGGGGAGCGAACAGG
rnacentral:rRNA from 1 species